CUGGGUAGGGGCCACGCUUUGGAGGGGCGUCUAGGACAGGCCUGGCGCUCUUUCGGAUACACGUGGACCUUUCUCCUUUCCAAUGGGCUGGGUUUGGGGCAGAAGCAUCCUCUGGGUUUCCCAAGGAAGUGGAAGCACCUGAGGGCGUGUGGUGUGCAGGGCCAGGAGGGGCGGGCGGGGGUGAAUCUGCCUUGCUGGAAGCUGACCGGCUCUUCCUCUUGCAGUGCCUCAGGGUCUCCGGCCAGCAGUGCCAGCCCUCGCUGGGAAGCGCAAGCGGCGGAAAUGCCCGGCCUCCACUAGCAAGGGCCAGCGGAACCCCCUGCACAGCUUCAAGAACACCAGGAAGAAGUUUCGGGCCUCGGCCAAGCCCAGAUAAGCCACCGGAGCCCUCGGCCCCACCAGCUGCAGGAUGCCUGAGCGUGGCUGCAGACCGUUCCCCUUUCCCAGAGGCCAGCAGGGCCAUGCAGCUGCGCUCGCUCUGCCCCCCGUUUUGGGUUUUUUAAAGAGUCCCUCGGCUCCUCUUGCCAAACUGCCCCCGGAGAAAUAAAUUGCAGUGGCCAAGACAAAACCGCCUUUCGUGGGGCAGCUUGUGCCGAUUCCUGACUCCUGCUGCGUCCAGUGCUCUCGUGCGGAUGGAAUUCAGAGGAGCAGGCGAGAGGGGAGGGCAUCCCGCCAACAACUCGGCCUCGUGAGAAGCAGCGCUGUGAAUUUCCGGGAGCCAGGAGAGUUCCCGGAGCAGAGGCGUGCACCCUCUUCGUAUCAAUAAAGCCGACAGGCGUGGGACUGCGGGCAUGAUGGUGCGAAAGUGCUGCCGGGGUCUGUUGCCAGGAAAGGUCCCCAUUCCUCCCAGCAGGCUGGAGCAGCCGACACCAGGGCGCCUUGCCAACCAGCGGGCUGGGGUGGCGGCUGGUGGACUUUUGCCCGGGAUGGUGGCUUUAUCAGGCAUCAAGGCCAGGACAGGAUUGUAAACCUUGAAAUGGCAGGAUAAGAAGCUCACGGUGCCCUUUGCGUGGCCUGGCCUGAUGUGACGUUGCACAGCGAGGAUCAGGA
rnacentral:lncRNA from 1 species